rnacentral:rRNA from 1 species
UCGACGAUGAAUCUUCUAGCUUGCUAGAAGUGGAUUAGUGGCGCACGGGUGAGUAAUGCAUAGGUUAUGUGCCCUUUAGUCUGGGAUAGCCACUGGAAACGGUGAUUAAUACUGGAUACUCCCUACGGGGGAAAGUUUUUCGCUAAAGGAUCAGCCUAUGUCCUAUCAGCUUGUUGGUGAGGUAAUGGCUCACCAAGGCUAUGACGGGUAUCCGGCCUGAGGGGGUGAUCGGACACACUGGAACUGAGACACGGUCCAGACUCCUACGGGAGGCAGCAGUAGGGAAUAUUGCUCAAUGGGGGAAACCCUGAAGCAGCAACGCCGCGUGGAGGAUGAAGGUUUUAGGAUUGUAAACUCCUUUUGUUAGAGAAGAUUAUGACGGUAUCUAACGAAUAAGCACCGGCUAACUCCGUGCCAGCAGCCGCGGUAAUACGGAGGGUGCAAGCGUUACUCGGAAUCACUGGGCGUAAAGAGUGCGUAGGCGGGGUAAUAAGUCAGAUGUGAAAUCCUGUAGCUUAACUACAGAACUGCAUUUGAAACUGUUACUCUGGAGUGUGGGAGAGGUAGGUGGAAUUCUUGGUGUAGGGGUAAAAUCCGUAGAGAUCAAGAGGAAUACUCAUUGCGAAGGCGACCUGCUGGAACAUUACUGACGCUGAUGCACGAAAGCGUGGGGAGCAAACAGGAUUAGAUACCCUGGUAGUCCACGCCCUAAACGAUGGAUGCUAGUUGUUGCCUUGCUUGUCAGGGCAGUAAUGCAGCUAACGCAUUAAGCAUCCCGCCUGGGGAGUACGGUCGCAAGAUUAAAACUCAAAGGAAUAGACGGGGACCCGCACAAGCGGUGGAGCAUGUGGUUUAAUUC